AUUGAACGCUGGCGGCAGGCUUAACACAUGCAAGUCGAGCGGGGAAGUAUAGCUUGCUAUACGACCUAGCGGCGGACGGGUGAGUAAUGCUUAGGAAUCUGCCUAUUAGUGGGGGACAACAUUCCGAAAGGAAUGCUAAUACCGCAUACGCCCUACGGGGGAAAGCAGGGGAUCUUCGGACCUUGCGCUAAUAGAUGAGCCUAAGUCAGAUUAGCUAGUUGGUGGGGUAAAGGCCUACCAAGGCGACGAUCUGUAGCGGGUCUGAGAGGAUGAUCCGCCACACUGGGACUGAGACACGGCCCAGACUCCUACGGGAGGCAGCAGUGGGGAAUAUUGGACAAUGGGCGAAAGCCUGAUCCAGCCAUGCCGCGUGUGUGAAGAAGGCCUUUUGGUUGUAAAGCACUUUAAGCGAGGAGGAGGCUACUUGGAUUAAUACUCUAGGAUAGUGGACGUUACUCGCAGAAUAAGCACCGGCUAACUCUGUGCCAGCCGCCGCCGUAA
rnacentral:rRNA from 1 species